rnacentral:rRNA from 1 species
AGCGAACGCUGGCGGCAGGCCUGACACAUGCAAGUCGAACGAACUCUUCGGAGUUAGUGGCGGACGGGUGAGUAACACGUGGGAACGUGCCUUUUGGUUCGGAAUAACUCAGGGAAACUUGUGCUAAUACCGAAUGUGCCCUUCGGGGGAAAGAUUUAUCGCCAUUAGAGCGGCCCGCGUCUGAUUAGCUAGUUGGUGAGGUAACGGCUCACCAAGGCGACGAUCAGUAGCUGGUCUGAGAGGAUGACCAGCCACACUGGGACUGAGACACGGCCCAGACUCCUACGGGAAGCAGCAGUGGGGAAUCUUGCGCAAUGGGCGAAAGCCUGACGCAGCCAUGCCGCGUGAAUGAUGAAGGUCUUAGGAUUGUAAAAUUCUUUCACCGGGGACGAUAAUGACGGUACCCGGAGAAGAAGCCCCGGCUAACUUCGUG